AGAGGAUCAUCAACUCAGGAAGUUUCAACUAAAAUCACAGGAGGUUACUUAUUACUUGGCCUUUAGGUUGUACUCUAAAAAUGUCUGUGUCUGUGUGUAGGUGGUUCAUAUCAUGCACGAUAGUCUAGUCAAAGUGCCGAAGCCUGACAAAGAUUUGCCUGAAGUUGAAGAUCAGCCGGAUGAACUGCAGGCUGAAGAUUUGCUGGUUGAACCCAGCGCUGAAAAACAAAAGUUGGCGGACUGGUGGAAGAACAUAAAGGUACCUGAGAAGUUGAAGAACAUGAAGUCACUGGAUCAGUGGGAUAACAUGAAGAUUUGGCCCAACCUGAUAUAUGCUAUAUUGGUUAUUGUCAUCCUUGUCCUGAGUGAGUAUCAAUCUUCUGACUGGCAAAAUGUACCUAUUUAAUUUGAGUUGCGUCUCCUUCAAUUACAGUUUGGAUUCUAUAAAGCAGCAGGGAUGGGGAGUGAGGAAAACGAAGAAACAAACACCAUGAACGGUUGAAGUCAGAAGUGAGAUCCUUAACAACGGGAUUAUAUAAUCACAAAACAGUUGGACGGUGCUUGUUGGAUCGCGAUACCUUUCAAGUGUAGCUGCCGAUCCGCGUGUUCUUUGAAUGAAGACUUCGAGAAGAAAUGUACCAAUUUCAAAAUGUAUUUAACAAUAGAACCAAUUCCAGACACAAAUAUUACAGAGCUCCGGGCCAGUUCAUAACCCUAGCAACAACAGAGUCAAUUGUCAGGGCAUGAAGUCUGACAACCUAACUAUCCCUUGGCCCAGUCCUUUAUAGUCACACACAUCUUAAGGAGCAGGAGGACCGGGGCUCCUCGAAUUCCACGGCUGAAUUAAAUUGGUAAGACGUAUUUAUCCUAAUAUUUGGAAUGAAUUACUGCGUAGGAUAGAUGCUAACCUUACUCUGCUAACCAGCGGCUGCCACUAAACAGCCUAAAUAAACACGAAAUCCUGUGAGCCCUUUGAAACGAGACCAGGUUACAAAUAUAAGUAAACAUCAAAGGAAUUCCUGUGAAUUUAUUAAAAUAAGACCAGGUUACGAAACAAAUUCCUGUGAGAUCAUUGAGGCAAGACUAGGUUACAAAACGAAUUAAACACCAAAGUAAUCCCUGAAGGCGCACGGACCCUGAGGGUAGGACGACCCUGCUGGGGAUCCUACCCCAGGCUCUGACAUCUUCACCCACAUUCGAUCCCACUUAAAACACAUCCAUUUAGCCUGGACCUUCCCUCAUGGACUUUCACAUUAUUCAAUUGUAUUUGUACAUUUCAAAUUUGCCAUCUGUCUUCAAGGUGCUUUUUGCAGGGAGAUGCUGGAGGAUGUCCUACCUACCUUUGGGCAAGAGGUAGAGUAUACACUGGAUUAGUCACCAGUUGUUAGGCACUGCAGACACGAAUCAAGACCCCCAAAUGCAGACACACAUGACUGGGUGAGGUUGGGAUUAAGAUUUACUGAAGGUUGGUUCAGCGCAACCAGGUGGUGCUGUAAGCAGUAGUGAUGGGGAAAUGAUACCGAGGCUUCGGAGCUUGUGUCACUCUUCUUGAAGCGGAGUGAUUCAAAACGCUGUGUCGGAGCUUGUAUCAAAACACCAGUGCCAUGUGACCGAUGACAUUCGAAGCUUCGAACGUCGAAGGAAGCCUCGAAAUGUCGAAGGAAACUUCGAACGUCGAAGCUUCAAACGUCAUCGCUGUUUCGCUUCGCGCUUCAUUGCUUCAAAAUGUUUCGAAGCCUUUCAAUGGCUCAGCCUUUCAGUGUGUGUCAGUGGCUCAUGGCGUUUCAAUGCAUUCUGAGACAGAUUUGAGUGGUUUGAUGGAAUACCAGCUAUAUCAGAUGCAUUAUUAUGCUUCAAAAUUGUUGGGUUGUGAGGAGAUAGAGAUUUAGAGAAUUAGAGUAUUUUGGCGAGUACCACCAAUAAGCAACGUUCUAAAGUUUGGGAUCAUUUUGAUCUCAUGGCACCAAAUAAGGUAUAAUGCAGUUCAUAGCAUACAUUUUAUGUUUCCAUAAUUUAAUUGUAUUUUUAAUUUUUGAAUGGGUCUCAAAAUUACAAUUGCUUGUCGGUGCGGUGCUUGCAAUGCACACAAGAGUUGUUUUACAGCAACAACACAUCAUCUAUGCUGAGACACUUGCGUGCUAGGCAUGACUGCAACAGUAGAAAAAAUGAUAUUUCUCAAUAAAAACCUGUGAGGACAA
ensembl:lncRNA